GGAAAGUAGUGGGCAGGGGCAGGGGUAAGGUGGAGGGGGCCAGCGUUGUUCGGGAGUGCUGGGUGUAAAGGGUUCGUAGGCGGUGGGGCGAGUCGGGAGGGAAAUCUUUGGGCUCAACUCAGAGGCGGCUGCCGAAACUGCUGUGCUUGAGUGUGGGAGAGGCGCGUGGAAUUGCAGGUGUAGCGGUGAAAUGCGUAGAUAUCUGCAGGAACACCCGUGGCGAAAGCGGCGCGCUGGACCACUACUGACGCUGAGGAACGAAAGCUAGGGGAGCAAACAGGAUUAGAUACCCCAGUAGUC
rnacentral:rRNA from 1 species